CAAAAGCAUUGAUUUAAUAAGGUUUUAUUUUACCUUUUUCAUAAUAAUCUCCCUUAACUCCACCGAAUCAGGUGGAGUUUUU
rnacentral:sRNA from 1 species